rnacentral:lncRNA from 1 species
GCAGUAGAAUGAGCUCCCAGAAAUGGCUACUUCCAGUGUCGGGGUCCGCAGAGAAAGCCGCAGCCGCUCUUUACCUCUCCAGGAGACUGUCCAAGAGCAGCAGGAGACCCUGCCAUGGAGAAUGUGAAUUUUCAUCCUUGAAAACAUCCAUCAGAUGCUCAAAGUCCUGGGUUGGGAAGGAGGAGGCUCUAGGCAACCUCUGAGGCCCUUCUGAUACUAAGAUGACAGAGGCUGAAUUCUGGCAACAGCUGUUCUUUCCUUGGAUAUUGUUCCCUGCCUAAAGAAGGAACUCAGCAAAAGGCAGCGAAUUGGAUUUAGAGUCGCAACUUUCAAGAUGUUUAUUCAUCCAUCAUUCCAAGGACUUGAAUUUAUGGUGUGCGUUCCUUACCACUACCCAAUGAAACAAGAGUGAUCAUUGCCAUCCUAGAGAUGAGGCUUGGAAAGGUGAGUAAUACUCUCAGAUCAUGCACUGAAUAAGUGGUACAGCAAGAAUCUGAGCUUUCUUCCUUCUCCAAACCUAGACUUUCCCAUGCAGCCUCUUUUCAUCCUAACCAUUGCUCUCCUAUCAGGGCCAAAGGAAAACUAGGAAUUGUCCCUGGGUUACACAUGGAAACUUUUUCUCUAGUCUUCUUUUUCUCAUCCCCUGGAAAACAAAAAAGUUCUGUGCCCUUCAGGACUCAUUACCACCUUCAUUAUCUUCAAGCAUUUUUUUUUUUCAGUCUACAUGAUUUUUUUUUCGUCUCUAUUUCCUUAUCAAGAGUUGUACACAGCCUAUAAUUAUGCCACUCAAGGUGACAGCCACUUUGGAACACAUUAGCACAUAAUUUAGGGAAUUAUUAGCAGGCCCCAAGGAAAGUAUAAAUUUCAGCCAGAGCAAUUGUUUGGUUAGGGGAGCUUCCCAGAUAAGAGAUCAGCUCUUUUCUGGAAGCUCUCCCGUCUUUUUUGAAAGGCGACCAGAGCAAAGUAGUAAAUGCUUCCUUUCCAUCAAAUAUUGGAAAGCAUCCUCUUAUCCCAGUCUCUCUCCUUAACUGAAACAGUACUAACCAGAAUUAAGACAGGAGAUAAAUAGGCUCCAGGACUAGCCACUUGUUUACACUUCCUGAGGCAGGAGAUAGGUGGGCUCCAGGAGAGACAUUUACAAUGAGCCACCUAUCUAUACUUCAAGAUAGAAAUAACAACAGACAUAAGACAAAUAAUUGGUACUUGUCUUCUAUGAACUUGUUAAACAAUGGUAAUGACAGGAUCACAAUUAGGGCUAAGCCCAGCUUGGGCAAAAGACCAAGAAGUCACAUACUUCCCAUCCUCAGGAGUCAGGGAGACCCCAACUACACAUGCACAGAGAGACCCCUCCGGGCCAGAAAGGGAGGGGGUGCCAGGCCAUAACAAGUGUAGAUGAGCUUCCCACCAUGCCUUGCUUCGGAUUCCAUCUUGGCCAAAAGAUGCUCGUGCAGAUGUGAAAGAUAAAACAAGAUAAAUGGCCAAAAGAUGUGAAAGAUAAAACAAGAUAAAUGGCCAAAAGAAGAUAAAGACCCAGAAGAACUGUCCUAUAUAAGUGACUUAAAUUGCCUCUUCCGGAUGCUCCUCACUCAGGGGAACACCCACACCCACGCUCCUUUGGGGGUGUAUUACUGCUUUGCUUUGCCUCAGAUAAAUAGAAUACUUCUCGGUGUGCUCUCCCACAUGUUGUACUGUGUUUCUAACAAUAAACUUUAUACCUGCUUUUACAUUCUUUGCCUCUUUGAUGCAUUCUUGCUAUCAACAGGGGGCAAGAAUCAGGGCAAUUCUGUCUCUAGCCUCUAGCUUGUCUAGUGACUGGGAUUCCUGGUUUUCAUCCAGGCUGCCAAGGCUCAAUUCCUGAGCAGAGAAUUAAGAUCUCACUUCAAGUCAUCACUCACUGCUGUCUCUCCAGUAUCAGAACCAAGUGAUGAAGAAAUCAUCCCUGCAUCCUCUAACAGAGAGAGAUGCUUAACAUGUAAAGUGUUCAUUAAAGAAAGUUAAACUAUCAGCACCGUAAGAGACAUCUUUAGAAUGCAAGCUAUCAGCAUCUUUUACAAAUACUUUUUGAAAUUCCCUAAAGUAGGAAUGGACUACGAGGUUCCCCAUCCUUCCCUUGAGUAUCAUGAGAUCUUCCAUACCCAAAAAUCAAAACACCAGCUCCUCUCUUACUGACCUUAGGGCAGGCAAUUCUCAGAGGUGAUCUUACUAUAGUUGAAUAUAAAAGAAAGCCUGUGAAUUUUAGGAGAUGAAGAAUUGGGUUAGGGUUAGGGUCAUCUAGCUUCUGGUUAGUAAGCAUGUUCCUCCUUUCUUCUGUAGGAAACAUAAAAGUCUUAUUUUAAAUUCUAAGACUAUGGUCUAAAUUUGAAUAAUGAAUUAAGCACAGAUGAGUAUCUUAGAAAAAUUGUGGUGGGUUCUGCUCCUGGCAAUGGCUGACUAGGUUGUUUUGGCCCAAGUCUCUCUGGAGAAACAAUUAGACAAUCUAAACAAAAUAUCUUUAAAAUCUGUUUGAAGGCAUAGGAAAACUAUCAUGAUUAUAUAUUUCGAAAUUUAGGGCAUGGUAAGGAUAAAGUGCAGAAACCAGAGAGUUUAACCUAACAUUUGGAGUCUCCCUAGAAGCAAAGGACAAAUUCAAAAGCAAAAGUGGUGACUGAGAGGCUGAGAAACUGAGCAAAGUUUUCAGAAACCAAAGAGCUGGAGAGGUCAAAAAUGAAGAUCAUAAUCUUCCAAGAGAGAAGGAAUUUUUAGUUCUACAACUUCCAUUUAAUUCUUUUUGAUACUUUCUAGUUCUCUGACAAUUUUUUUCCCAUCUUGAUAUUUACUCUUUAAGAUUUUAAUUAUUUUAAAAUCUGCGUGGGAUAAUUCUUAAUGUCAGGAUCUAUAGUGAACGUGUCUAUUUGUCUGUUCCCGCUACCCACACCCCUGGUAUUUUUCAUAAAUCUGAUCUUUUUGCAUGCUUGAUUUUUUUUUAACUGCAUGCUUCACAAUAGGUAUAGUAAAUUGUAGAGACUUUUUCUUAAGGAAGAAUAAGUGUCUUUAUUUGUCCAUGACAUGUCAUGUAUGUAGAAAAUUCUAAGAAAUCUAUACAAAGUUAUUUGAAUUAAUAAGUGAAGUUAGGAAGGUUGCAAAAUGCAAAGUCAGUAUACAAAGAUCAAUUGCGGAGUUCCCAUUGUGGCUCAGUGGGUUAAGGACCCAGCAUAGUCUCUGUGAGGAUGCAAGUUGGAUCCCUGGCCUCGCUCUGUGGGUUAAAGAUAAGGCAUUGCUGAAAGCUGUGGUAUAAGCCUCAGCUAUAGGUCUUAUUCAACCCCUAGCCCUGGAGCUUCCAUAUGCUUUGGAUGUGGCCAUUAAAAAAAAUAAUAAAAAGAUUAAUGGUAUUUUUAUAUAUUAGUAACAGUCCACUGAAAAUUGGAAUUUUAGAAUUCUGCUUACUUAGCAACCAAAAUAUAAUACUUAGAAUAAAUUUGAAGAAAUACAGGAGUUCCCUGGUGGCUCAGCAGGUUAAGGAUCUGGUAUUUUUACUGCUGUGGUGGAGGUUCGAUCUCUGGCCUGGGAACUUCCACAUGCCCACAGGUAUGACCAAAAUAAAAAAGACUUAUACAAGAAUAUUUAUUAAUAGCAACUCUGUUUAAAGGCCCCAAACCAAUAACAGCCCAAGUAUCCAUCGGUAAGAAAGUAUGUAAGUGAGCUAUGAUAUUGCUUUGAUGGAAUACUGCUCAGCAAUAAAAAGGAACAUGAAUAAAUCUCAGAAAACAUGUUAAAUGAAAGAAGCUUCAUACAAAAGAGUUAUCAUUGUAUGAUUCUAUUUAUCUGAAAUCCUAGAAGCAUUAUAAGUAAAUGAUGGAAAAAAUUAAUACCGUUUGCCACUGAGGUCAGGAAUGACUGGAAAGAGGUGUGAAGGAACUUUCUGGAAUGAAGGUAGCAUUCUGUAUCUUUAUAUAAGUAUAUGCAUUUAUGAAAUGAAAUUUAUGCAUUUAUGUUUAUGCAUUUAUGAAAAUUCAUCAAAUGGUCCAAUUAAGAUUUGUCCAUUUUAUUAUAACUUUUGCCUCAAGAUGUACAAAUUGUUUGUGGCUUUGGUAUCUUACUUCAAAGAGGAUUUACUUUUGCUUCUAGAAGGUCACCUUAAUUACAAUCAGAUAUUAGAUGAUUCAAAGCCAAGUGUCAGGCAUUGUGAGGUCUCAUUUAUUUCUGGUUGACAUUUUCUUCCAAAGAGGGAAGAAUCCUGGUAAACCCCAAAGGGGUUUUGCUAGUACCCUAAAUAUAAGGCUACAGAGUUGAUGAAAGUAAAAGGAUGGGAGAAGAUUGUAGAAAACACUAAUCAAAGAAAGACUGGGACAGGUAUAUAUAAAUGGACAUUAAAACAAAAAGCAUUAUUAGAGGUAAACAUAGAUUUCAUAACAAUAAAAGAGUCUAUCCAAUAGGAAGUUACUAGACUUCUCUCUAUAUAUAUGCAUCAAACAACAUAGCCACCAAACAUAUUAAGCAAAGUAGGCCCUAUGACCACAGAGGGGGUUAAUGGACUAUAUCUGUUUAACUUGCCUUGUACACUAAUGCCUAAUAAAAUGCCUGGCAGACAUUAGGUGCACAGUAAAUGACUUAAAAAGCCAGUAUUGAGAUGGGAUUAAAUGGUGGAAGAGAAAGACUGGAGCUCAACUUCUCUCCUAAAAACAACAAAAUUACAAACAAAGGCUGAGCAAUCUUCAACCAAAUGGACUGGAAACUUUCAAAAAGAUAUCCUACUCCAGAAGACAAAGAGGAGGCCACAUCAAGAGUAGGAGGGGCGAUUAUGUGCUAUAAGCAACCCCAUACCUCCAGGGUGGGAAGCCCCACAGACUGGAAAGUAACUGUAUCACAGAGACUCAACUAAGGAGUGAGAGUUCUGAGCCCCAUGUCAAGUCCCCACAUCUGGGGUUCUGGCAUUAGGAUAAAGAGCCCCGGAGCAUCUGGCAUUGAAGGCCAGUGGGGCUUAUGUGCAGGAGCUCCAUGGGACUGGGGGAAAUGUAGACCCCAUUCUUAAAAGGCACACACAGACUUUCACGGGCAUUGGGUCCCAGGGCAAAGCCAAGUUUCCAUAGGAAUCUGGGUCGGACCUGCUGCAGUUCUUGGAGGACCUCCUAGGAAAACAGGGCAUGAAUGUGGCUUAUUGUGGGGGAAGGACAUUGGAAGCAAAGCUCUUGGGAAUAUUCACCAUUGUGUGUUUCUCUGGAGGUGGACAUUUUGGGAAAAUCUGGCCCCAUCCAUCAGCACUGAGAAGCCCCAGGCCAAACAACAAUCCAGGUGGGAUCAUAGACCUGCCCCUCAGUAAACAGGCUGCCAAAAGAACCCCCAGGCAUGCAUCCACCUCUAAUCUCACCCAGAGACAAAGUCUCACCCACCAGAGGGAUAGGAAUCAGCUCUACCAACCAUUGGGCAGGCAUCAGUCCCUCCCAUCAGGAAGCCUAUAGCAAGCCCCCAUACUGACUUCAGCCAUAAGGGGGGCAGACAACUGAAGUAAGAGAGGCUACAACUCUAUUAUCGGUAAAAAAGUCACCACAGCAAAAACCCAUAAAAAUGAAAAGACAGAGAACUAUAACUCAGAUAAGGGAGAAAGAAAAAACUCCAGAAAAACAGCUAAGUGGUCAGGAGAUUCUCAGCCUCCAGGAAAAAGACUUUAGACUGCUGAUGCUGAAGAUGAUGCAAGACAUUGGAAAUAAACUGGAGGCAAAGAUGGGUAAUUUACAGGAAACACUGAGCAAAGAGACACAAGAUAUAAAACUUAAGCAAGAAGAGAUGCAAAAUACAAUAACUGAAAUAAAAAAUUCAUUAGAAGCAGCCAACAGCAAAAUACAGGAGGCAGAAGAAUGAAUAGCGAGGUAGAGGAACAGACUAGUGGAAAUCACAGAUGU